UUGCUAGCAGUGAAAGCUCAGAGUUAUGACAUAACAGCACCCUGUCUCAGCACUCUCCCAACUUUGUCCCCAGGCAGUGAGUGCUUCAUGGCCAGAGAGAGAUAGGACUGAACCCUCGUACCUUCAAACAUAUCUAAAUCUCUGGUGCAGUUCAGAGUGGUUGAUCAUACUGUAAAACUCAAAUGUGAAGGGAAGGCUGGAACCUACUGGAAACUGAAUGAAGAUCUAACGAAAAGAAGGAACUUUUAGGAACUAGCAGAGACUUCAAAAUGUUGAGAACUCUCUUUUUUCAUAAGAGAAGAUAAAAACUCUGAUGGUCACACUCAUAAAGAC
rnacentral:antisense_RNA from 1 species